GAUGAACGCUGGCGGCGUGCCUAAUACAUGCAAGUCGAGCGAACGGACGAGAAGCUUGCUUUUCUGAUGUUAGCGGCGGACGGGUGAGUAACACGUGGAUAACCUACCUAUAAGACUGGGAUAACUUCGGGAAACCGGAGCUAAUACCGGAUAAUAUUUUGAACCGCAUGGUUCAAAAGUGAAAGACGGUCUUGCUGUCACUUAUAGAUGGAUCCGCGCUGCAUUAGCUAGCUGGUAAGGUAACGGCUUACCAAGGCAACGAUGCAUAGCCGAACUGAGAGGGUGAUCGGCCACACUGGAACUGAGACACGGUCCAGACUCCUACGGGAGGCAGCAGUAGGGAAUCUUCCGCAAUGGGCGAAAGCCUGACGGAGCAACGCCGCGUGAGUGAUGAAGGUCUUCGGAUCGUAAAACUCUGUUAUUAGGGAAGAACAUAUGUGUAAGUAACUGUGAACAUCUUGACGGUACCUAAUCAGAAAGCCACGGCUAACUACGUG
rnacentral:rRNA from 1 species